rnacentral:rRNA from 1 species
UAGGGAAUCUUCCGCAAUGGGCGAAAGCCUGACGGAGCAACGCCGCGUGAGUGAUGAAGGUCUUCGGAUCGUAAAACUCUGUUAUUAGGGAAGAACAAAUGUGUAAGUAACUAUGCACGUCUUGACGGUACCUAAUCAGAAAGCCACGUCUAACUACGUGCCAGCAGCCGCGGUAAUACGUAGGUGGCAAGCGUUAUCCGGAAUUAUUGGGCGUAAAGCGCGCGUAGGCGGUUUUUUAAGUCUGAUGUGAAAGCCCACGGCUCAACCGUGGAGGAUCAUUGGAAACUGGAAAACUUGAGUGCAGAAGAGGAAAGUGGAAUUCCAUGUGUAGCGGUGAAAUGCGCAGAGAUAUGGAGGAACACCAGUGGCGAAGGCGACUUUCUGGUCUGUAACUGACGCUGAUGUGCGAAAGCGGGGGGAUCAAACAGG